CAUAUUUAAAAUGCAGAAAAAAUAAAAUUAUACAAGCCUUUCAGCUAGUGUUUUUUGGCCCAGCCAGCCUAGUUAAAGCCCAAAGUAGUUUAAUUACCCAAAUCAAAGAUACUAAUUGCUCUUAGAGAAAAGAAGUUAAAAGUCGGGGGAGUUGAACGUCGAUGGUAACGAAGCUUCUCGACGGAGGUUCUGAAGAGUCAUGCAAUCCACUGUUGCAUCAUUUUUGAUGAGAGGCGAGGGCUCCUUUCACGAUAGCUCAGUAUUAUGUCUCUUAUUUGACGAUCUAUCAGCCGGAUCAACGCGUCAGGAGAUCUGAAUGUGUUCCGGUGUAGACGACCAUUCCUUUCCUGCCAAGUCCAAAAGAUACAGCUCUGCCAGGCCGCAACGACGAGCAAGAGGCAACCACAAGCUCCACGAAUAGGGGCAGAGAAAAUAGAGAUGGUCCCGAGACUCUGGUGAUGAGUUACAGAGCAAGCAAGUUGGUGAAGUUUGAAGCCCCCAAUUCAACAAUCUGUCCCGAGUAGGACAGCGGUUCAAGAGAAAGAGCCAAGACAGAAAAGAGUGCUUAGGAAUACCUCCUGCAAUCCAGAUAAUAUGAGACCAAGGAACCGCAACGCCCUGACCAGAUAGAAUUCCAUACACUUGACCAGUGGAAUAAGUUGUGAUCCAGUGGUUGUUCCUGUAAAGAGAAGCCAGGGUUGCGUUCUCUCGGAUACCCAGAGAUGAGUUCGAGUCAGUGGCUAGGAAAGUUCUCAAGGAGCCCAACUCUGACCAGUUAUCAUUCCAGAAACGGCAAGUUUCUCCAUUCCUUACUCUAAGUUUGAUCCAACCAAAAAUCUCACUUCUCAGUUUGAGUAAUUUAUUUACCAACCAUGAGUUCCUUGUGCUCGGUUUCACU